rnacentral:tRNA from 1 species
CGGGCUAUAGCGCAGUUGGUAGCGCGUACGGUUCGGAACCGUAAGGCCGUGGGUUCAAGUCCCACUAGCCCGA